CGGUGAAGUUUCCCUUUGAAUUAGACCAACAUCUAUUGAGCCUGAAAAAAGGGCAAAAAAUGACGCAGCACUGACAUCAGCCUCAAGUGAUUGGUAUUUCACUGUCGGGUACAAAAAUUACCAUCAGCUGUAGAUCCCACAAUUGCCAGCUUCGCUCUCUUUGACAUCAGUCUUUUGAAUCUGACUAUCAGUCUGUGGGCAGAUGAAUUCAUGAAGUAAUUGAAGAGAUAUGUGACAGGAUGAAGUGUGUUAUGACCUUUCUUGUGGAAAACGCCCUUAUUCUCUCUGGUUGGGCAGCUCACAUACUGUGUGUAGUUGGACAGUGUUUUCUCCAUAGUGACAUGAUUAAAAUCUCCUGAUAUUAUCACUACUGCAUUGGGGUGUUUAGUUAAUUAUGAUUGUUUCCAUAAUUAAGCAGCCCUAAUCAUAAGGUAGUUGACCUUUUGUAGCAUUUUGAUGUGUUACUUUAUGGUGAUAGGGAAUAACAAAAUACAGAAAGAAGUAUAAUAUGUAGAUAUGCAUGAAUACAAAUAGAAAAUAUUUUUAAACAUUUAUAAAAAAUUAAAAUAUUAAACAGUGAGAAGUGAGCUCAGGGUCUGUUUUACCUUCCUUUAUUGCAGAACACCAAUGAGUAAGGGAAUUUAUCCCUCGCUAUAAAAAGAGACAUGCAUUAACACACACAGAAUGACUCUACGUACCUGCUCCAUAAGCCAUCUUUGAUAACAGCUUUUUGACUUUCACACUUAGUCAGUGAAAAGAA